rnacentral:rRNA from 1 species
UACGAAGGGGGCUAGCGUUGCUCGGAAUCACUGGGCGUAAAGGGUGCGUAGGCGGGUCUUUAAGUCAGGGGUGAAAUCCUGGAGCUCAACUCCAGAACUGCCUUUGAUACUGAAGAUCUUGAGUUCGGGAGAGGUGAGUGGAACUGCGAGUGUAGAGGUGAAAUUCGUAGAUAUUCGCAAGAACACCAGUGGCGAAGGCGGCUCACUGGCUCGAUACUGACGCUGAGGAGCGAAAGCCAGGGGAGCAAACGGG